rnacentral:rRNA from 1 species
UCCUAUGUACAUGCCUACAAUGUUAAUGAAGUGGAUCCCAUUACAACUCCAUAGUUAAGCAUGCUUGGGAUAGAGUAAUAAUGGGAUGGGUGACCUCCCGAUCAGUCCUAGUGUUUUACAUGCC